rnacentral:lncRNA from 7 species
GUGGGUAAAUAAUAAAAAGACUUAUGACAAUAAUGAUCAUCAAUCAAUAUGUCACAACAUGAUGAACAAGGUGUUGGCACAUGUAUGAUAAUGAGUCAUGGCUGACGUGGCAGGUGCUUAUGUAAUAUACGAAUUAUGAAAUAAUUAGGGACAAUUGACUUACUUAUGCUCUCUUUAAUGUAUUGUUAUGUAAUAGUUAACUUAUAGAAUAGUUGGAGUAGUUGGCCUACUUCUCUUAUUUACAAUAUCCUAUGGCUAGCUUGUAAAUAUUGUAGUGCC